rnacentral:rRNA from 17 species
CCCGGGCCUUGUACACACCGCCCGUCACACCAUGGGAGUUGGGUCUACCCGAAGGCGGUGCGCCAACCAGCAAUGGAGGCAGCCGACCACGGUAGGCUCAGCGACUGGGGUGAAGUCGUAACAAGGUAGCCGUAGGGGAACCUGCGGCUGGAUCACCUCCUU